rnacentral:rRNA from 2 species
AACGCUGGCGGCGUGCCUAAUACAUGCAAGUCGAACGAACUCUGGUAUUGAUUGGUGCUUGCAUCAUGAUUUACAUUUGAGUGAGUGGCGAACUGGUGAGUAACACGUGGGAAACCUGCCCAGAAGCGGGGGAUAACACCUGGAAACAGAUGCUAAUACCGCAUAACAACUUGGACCGCAUGGUCCGAGUUUGAAAGAUGGCUUCGGCUAUCACUUUUGGAUGGUCCCGCGGCGUAUUAGCUAGAUGGUGGGGUAACGGCUCACCAUGGCAAUGAUACGUAGCCGACCUGAGAGGGUAAUCGGCCACAUUGGGACUGAGACACGGCCCAAACUCCUACGGGAGGCAGCAGUAGGGAAUCUUCCACAAUGGACGAAAGUCUGAUGGAGCAACGCCGCGUGAGUGAAGAAGGGUUUCGGCUCGUAAAACUCUGUUGUUAAAGAAGAACAUAUCUGAGAGUAACUGUUCAGGUAUUGACGGUAUUUAACCAGAAAGCCACGGCUAACUACGUGCCAGCAGCCGCGGUAAUACGUAGGUGGCAAGCGUUGUCCGGAUUUAUUGGGCGUAAAGCGAGCGCAGGCGGUUUUUUAAGUCUGAUGUGAAAGCCUUCGGCUCAACCGAAGAAGUGCAUCGGAAACUGGGAAACUUGAGUGCAGAAGAGGACAGUGGAACUCCAUGUGUAGCGGUGAAAUGCGUAGAUAUAUGGAAGAACACCAGUGGCGAAGGCGGCUGUCUGGUCUGUAACUGACGCUGAGGCUCGAAAGUAUGGGUAGCAAACAGGAUUAGAUACCCUGGUAGUCCAUACCGUAAACGAUGAAUGCUAAGUGUUGGAGGGUUUCCGCCCUUCAGUGCUGCAGCUAACGCAUUAAGCAUUCCGCCUGGGGAGUACGGCCGCAAGGCUGAAACUCAAAGGAAUUGACGGGGGCCCGCACAAGCGGUGGAGCAUGUGGUUUAAUUCGAAGCUACGCGAAGAACCUUACCAGGUCUUGACAUACUAUGCAAAUCUAAGAGAUUAGACGUUCCCUUCGGGGACAUGGAUACAGGUGGUGCAUGGUUGUCGUCAGCUCGUGUCGUGAGAUGUUGGGUUAAGUCCCGCAACGAGCGCAACCCUUAUUAUCAGUUGCCAGCAUUAAGUUGGGCACUCUGGUGAGACUGCCGGUGACAAACCGGAGGAAGGUGGGGAUGACGUCAAAUCAUCAUGCCCCUUAUGACCUGGGCUACACACGUGCUACAAUGGAUGGUACAACGAGUUGCGAACUCGCGAGAGUAAGCUAAUCUCUUAAAGCCAUUCUCAGUUCGGAUUGUAGGCUGCAACUCGCCUACAUGAAGUCGGAAUCGCUAGUAAUCGCGGAUCAGCAUGCCGCGGUGAAUACGUUCCCGGGCCUUGUACACACCGCCCGUCACACCAUGAGAGUUUGUAACACCCAAAGUCGGUGGGGUAACCUUUUAGGAACCAGCCGCCUAAGGUGGGACAGAUG